UACGUAGGGUGCAAGCGUUAAUCGGAAUUACUGGGCGUAAAGCGUGCGCAGGCGGUUCUAUAAGACAGAUGUGAAAUCCCCGGGCUCAACCUGGGAACUGCAUUUGUGACUGUAGAGCUGGAGUACGGCAGAGGGGGAUGGAAUUCCGCGUGUAGCAGUGAAAUGCGUAGAUAUGCGGAGGAACACCGAUGGCGAAGGCAAUCCCCUGGGCCUGUACUGACGCUGAGGCGCGAUAGCGUGGGGAGCAAACGGG
rnacentral:rRNA from 1 species